UAUGUAGGGGGCAAGCGUUGUCCGGAAUCAUUGGGCGUAAAGAGCGUGUAGGCGGUUCGGUAAGUCGGCUGUGAAAGUCCAGGGCUCAACCCUGGGAUGCCGGUCGAUACUGCCGGACUAGAGUUCGGAAGAGGCGAGUGGAAUUCCCGGUGUAGCGGUGAAAUGCGCAGAUAUCGGGAGGAACACCUAUGGCGAAGGCAGCUCGCUGGGACGUUACUGACGCUGAGACGCGAAAGCGUGGGGAGCAAACAGG
rnacentral:rRNA from 1 species